rnacentral:rRNA from 1 species
UAAAGGGUGUUCAGGCUGCCUGGUAAGUCAGGGGUGAAAGUCGGUCGCUCAACGAUCGAAUUGCCUUUGAAACUGUCAGGCUCGAGUAUGGAUGCGGUAGGCGGAAUGUGUAGUGUAGCGGUGAAAUGCAUAGAUAUUACACAGAACACCGAUUGCGAAGGCAGCUUACCAAACCAGCACUGACGCUGAAGCACGAAAGCGUGGGGAGCGAACAGGAUUAGAUACCCUGGUAGUCCACGCCGUAAACUUUGCUCACUCGCUGUUGGCGAUAGACAGUCAGCGGCCAAGGGAAACCGAUAAGUGAGCCACCGGGGGAGUACGGCCGCAAGGUUGAAACUCAAAGGAAUUGACGGGGGCCCGCACAAGCGGUGGAACAUGUGGUUUAAUUCGAUGAUACGCGAGGAACCUUACCUGGGCUUAAAUGUGAAGUGCAUUGAUUGGAAACAAUCAUUUCCUUCGGGACCCUUUACAAGGUGCUGCAUGGUUGUCGUCAGCUCGUGCCGUGAGGUGUCGGGUUAAGUCCCAUAACGAGCGCAACCCCUAUUGUUAGUUACCAGCGCGUAAUGGCGGGGACUCUAGCGAAACUGCCGGUGUAAACCGCGAGGAAGGUGGGGAUGACGUCAAAUCAGCACGGCCCUUAUGUCCAGGGCUACACACGUGUUACAAUGGCCGGUACAGCGGGCAGCUAGGCAGCGAUGUCAUGCUAAUCCCGAAAGCCGGUCCCAGUUCGGAUUGGAGUCUGCAACCCGACUCCAUGAAGGUGGAAUCGCUAGUAAUCGCGCAUCAGCCAUGGCGCGGUGAAUACGUUCCCGGGCCUUGUACACACCGCCCGUCAAGCCAUGGAAGUCUGGGGUGCCUGAAGCCGUAACCGCAAGGAGCGUCUAGGUAACAGAUGACUGGGGCUAAGUCGUA